UGUGUUGUGGCUCAGCGGUAGAGUGCUUGCCUAGCACAUGCAAGGUCUUGGGUUCUAUCCUCAGCACCACAU
rfam:Ictidomys tridecemlineatus contig010827, whole genome shotgun sequence.